AUAGUGCCUGGGGGUACGCGGAGUUCGUUCUGAGAUUAUACGGUUAUAUGAACUUGAUCUGGAUAAUACCAGCGAAAGGAUCAUGCCUUCCUCCCCUU
rnacentral:ncRNA from 21 species